AGGCUUCUCAGCAGAACAUGUCGGAAAAAAUUCUGCAAGUGGAGAAGACAGCUGCUCUCACCUAAAGGACAUUAAAGUGGACAGUUGAGAAAACAGAAGCCAAGAAGGGAGAGAAGGAACCGUACCAGGUGCUGUAGGGGUGUAGCUGGGAGAGCGUCUGGAAGAACAAAGGCAACAGAAAGGAAGAAUGACUGCAGAUGCGCUGAUGGCUGUGGCUUCAUAUCCCAGAAGCCAUAUACUGAUGAGUGGAAAACCCAGUGCCAGGGUGGGCUACCUCUAUACAUUUCUGGACUCGGAGUCUUCUGAGGCCUCCAAAACCAUAAAAGCUGAUGUCAUGUACUAGAUAGUUUUUUUUGUCAACACAAGCUAAAAUCAUCUGAGAGGAAGGAGCCUCUGUUAACAUUUCUCCAUGCACUGAGCUGUACAGCAGCUUGUUGGGAAUUUUCUUAACUAGUGAUUAAUGUGGGGAGGGCCCAGCCCA
rnacentral:lncRNA from 1 species